CUGCCCUCAAGCACGGCUUGUGUGUUGGGCUUCGCCCCCCGGCUCCCGGGGGGCGGGCCCGAAAGGCAGCGGCGGCACCGCGUCCGGUCCUCGAGCGUAUGGGGCUUUGUCACCCGCUCUGUAGGCCCGGCCGGCGCCCGCCGGCGACCCCAAUCAAUCUUUCCA
rnacentral:misc_RNA from 1 species